rnacentral:misc_RNA from 1 species
CUUGUUUGAAACAAAACCUUCAAGCCUGGAAACUGAAGUGGUGGUAUGAAUUCAAAACUGAAGCGUCACAAAAUAGAUGGUUGGCUACAACAAACCAGAGACCUAAGGUGUCUAUGGUCCAUAUAUUCCUUUUUAGAGACAGCAUGACAGAUUCAAGCUUCUUCCUGACCUUUUCUUCAGCAGCACAAAAAAAAGGAGAAAAGAAGAGAGGCAACUAUGCAGAUGAAUAUGGCCAUAUGGGCCCGCAUGGCAAUGAUCUUAAAAUGGGCCCAAGUCAUGAAAUCAUAGAGUUAAAUAGUGACAAAGCUAAAAGCUUUGCUGAUGCUUCUUACCUCUAAAACGAUCAUCAGGAUAAA